rnacentral:rRNA from 1 species
CACGUAGGGGGCAAGCGUUGUCCGGAUUUAUUGGGCGUAAAGAGCUCGUAGGUGGCUUAGUAAGUCGGGUGUGAAACCUCCAGGCUCAACCUGGAGACGCCACCCGAUACUGCUAUAGCUUGAGUCCGGUAGGGGAGCGUGGAAUUCCUGGUGUAGCGGUGAAAUGCGCAGAUAUCAGGAGGAACACCAAUUGCGAAGGCAGCUCGCUGGGACGUAACUGACGCUGAGACGCGAAAGCGUGGGGAGCAAACAGG